rnacentral:rRNA from 1 species
GACGAACCGUGCGAACGUUGUUCGGAAUCACUGGGCUUAAAGGGCGCGUAGGCGGGCUGCCAAGUCAGGGGUGAAAGCCCACGGCUCAACCGUGGAAGUGCCUUUGAUACUGGCGGCCUUGAGGGAGGUAGGGGCGUGCGGAACUUCCGGUGGAGCGGUGAAUGCGUAGAUAUCGGAAGGAACACCGGUGGCGAAAGCGGCGCGCUGGACCUCUUCUGACGCUGAGACGCGAAAGCGUGGGGAGCAAACAGG